UAUUAUGGAUAAGCAAAGAAAGUAGUUUCUUGAGAUGGAAUCUUCCCCUGGUGAAGAUGCUAUGAA
rnacentral:pre_miRNA from 1 species